rnacentral:misc_RNA from 1 species
AAGUCGUAACAAGGUCUCCGUUGGUGAACCAGCGGAGGGAUCAUUAGCGAGUUUACAGCUCCAAAACCCAUGUUUACGUGCCCUGAAGGUGCUGUCUCGGCGGGCGGGGGGUGACGACCCCCCACCGGCCGGCAUCCCACUGCCGCCCGCCGGCAGCACCAAAAACUCUUGCAAGCUGCAGCGUUACCUUCUGAAGAAACAAAAAAAAACAAGUUAAAACUUUCAACAACGGAUCUCUUGGCUCUG